AGGAGACAGGUAUGACCUGCUUUGAGCAAGAAACGACAUAUUGCACACAUUUCAAAGACCCUCAAGACCGGUGGGAAGACAGUGGGGGGAAACGCCCCGGUGAUGUUGGGGAAUCUACAGCCCCUUUGAUCAAGACUCCUAUGCAAUUAAAAAAAAAAAAAUCUUAAAGGGAGUGUUUUUAAAAGGCACCGAAAACCCCUUACUUGAACCGUGUUUCAGAUUCACUAAUUCAUGACGAGCCAUCAAGAACUUGAGGACUUCAAUUGGCCCCAACGGAAGGAAUUCAUCGUAGCAGCUGUCACCUGACAGCCACUUUAAAUCAUUUCAUAUCGAGAUUUGGGCCAAAUUGGAAGAAUUAAAAAAAAGACAAAAAGAAAAAACAACGCCAAGGUUUCGCAAAACAAAAGUAAAUUUAAUGGUUUGAGCUGAAAAGUGAAACAACGAACCAAAAAAAAUAAUAAUAAA